ACUUGGCCAGUUCUACCAAGGAGCAGGUGUCCUUCCAAUCUCGCUCUCGUGAGGAGCUCGGAUCCACGAUUAGAGAAAUGCUUCUGAUGGUAAGUUAUUUUUUCACUUCUCUUUGAGUUUGCUUUGUUUCUUUUCUUGACGAUUGUUCGUCCGUAUUAGGUGUCGGGCCUAUUUAUGGAGGUGGAUGCCCGUGACCUCUCUCUCCGGGAGUCCGUGGACCGCCGGAUCGAGGAAGCACGUCGCGAUGAAAACCUGGCUGCCACCAGCGACGCGAGGGGCCACCUGGCAGCCGCCCGGGAGCAGAU
rnacentral:lncRNA from 1 species